rnacentral:tRNA from 1 species
ACCUGGCUGGCUCAGUCAGUGGAGUGUGAGACUCUUGAUCUCAGGAUUGUGGGUUCAAGCCCCAUGUUGGGUG